ACCAGGGUGGUGUAGUGGUUAGCAUGUCAGAUUAGAAUAAUACGAAUAGCAGAGUUGGAAGGGACCAUGAAAGUCAUCUAGUCUAACCACUUGCAGUGUAGGAAUCUCUAGCCCAAUGCAGGGCUUGAACCCAUAAUCUUGAGUUAAAGCAUUUCAGGAGCUACCAUCAGUAACAGACCAGAAAAACCCAGGUUUUUAUAGGGACAGAACUACCUAAAUUGCAUGCUACUACAGCAGCAAGAGGGAAGCGGGUGGCGCUGUGGGUUAAACCACAGAGCCUAGGUCUUGCCGAUCAGAAGGUCGGCGGUUCGAAUCCCCGUGACGGGG